UACAGAGGUGGCAAGCGUUGUUCGGACUUACUGGGCGUAAAGGGCGCGUAGGCGGCCUUCUAAGUCGGACGUGAAAGCCCCAGGCUUAACCUGGGAACUGCGUCCGAUACUGGGAGGCUUGGAUUCGGGAGAGGGAUGUGGAAUUCCAGGUGUAGCGGUGAAAUGCGUAGAUAUCUGGAGGAACACCGGUGGCGAAGGCGGCCGACUGGGCCGACCCUGACGCUGAGGCGCGAAGGCGUGGGGAGCGAACGGG
rnacentral:rRNA from 1 species